GAUGAACGCUGGCGGCGUGCCUAAUACAUGCAAGUCGAGCGAAUGGAUUAAGAGCUUGCUCUUAUGAAGUUAGCGGCGGACGGGUGAGUAACACGUGGGUAACCUGCCCAUAAGACUGGGAUAACUCCGGGAAACCGGGGCUAAUACCGGAUAACAUUUUGAACCGCAUGGUUCGAAAUUGAAAGGCGGCUGCGGCUGUCACCUAUGGAUGAACCCGCGUCGCAUUAGCUAGUUGGUGAGGUAAGGGCGCACCAAGGCAACGAUGCGUAGCCGACCUGAGAGGGUGAUCGGCCACACUGGGACUGAGACACGGCCCAGACUCCUACGGGAGGCAGCAGUAGGGAAUCUUCCGCAAUGGACGAAAGUCUGACGGAGCAACGCCGCGUGAGUGAUGAAGGCUUUCGGGUCGUAAAACUCUGUUGUUAGGGAAGAACAAGUGCUAGUUGAAUAAGCUGGCACCUUGACGGUACCUAACCAGAAAGCCACGGCUAACUACGUGCCAGCAGCCGCCGUAA
rnacentral:rRNA from 1 species